rnacentral:lncRNA from 1 species
UGCAGGUAGAUGGAUGACAAAGGAUAGUGCUUUGAGAUCUAUAUAAAUGGUUGGAGAGCGAAUGAUGGAAGAUUUUAAGAUCUGUAUAGGCAAAUAGAUGAUAGAGGACAUAGUGCUUUGAGAUAUAUGUAGGUAGAUAAAUGAGAAAGAAUAGAACACUUUGAGAUUUGUAUUGGUAGAUGGAUGACAAAAGAUAGAGUAUUUUGAGAUUUGUGCAGAUGGAUGAAUGAUAGAGGAUGAAGGAC